GACGAACGCUGGCGGCGUGCCUAAUACAUGCAAGUCGAACGAGAGCGACCGGUGCUUGCACUGGUCAAUCUAGUGGCGAACGGGUGAGUAACACGUGGGUAACCUGCCCAUCAGAGGGGGAUAACAUCCGGAAACGGAUGCUAAAACCGCAUAGGUCUUCGAGCCGCAUGGCUUGAAGAGGAAAAGAGGCGCAAGCUUCUGCUGAUGGAUGUACCCGCGGUGCAUUAGCUAGUUGGUGAGGUAACGGCUCACCAAGGCCGUGAUGCAUAGCCGACCUGAGAGGGUGCUCGGCCACAUUGGGACUGAGACACGGCCCAAACGCCUACGGGAGGCAGCAGUAGGGAAUCUUCCGCAAUGGACGCAAGUCUGACGGAGCAACGCCGCGUGAGUGAAGAAGGUUUUCGGAUCGUAAAACUCUGUUGUUAGAGAAGAACAAGUGCUAGAGUAACUGUUAGCGCCUUGACGGUAUCUAACCAGAAAGCCACGGCUAACUACGUG
rnacentral:rRNA from 1 species